GGCCAGUACUGAGGAUGAUGUGCAGUUCCACGUGGGCCGAGUGCCACCAGAGAGCGCACGCGCACAGGCGUGGGGUGGCUCAGCGUCCACACGGAGAUUCAGAAAGGUCGCCUGGAGGGGGAGACACAGCUGUCCCCUGAUACUAAGGGCAGCUGGCCUGCGUGUGGCCAGCCAUGGGACACUGGUCACUAGGAGAGCCCCGUGCCUCGUGGCUUCAUACCACCCCCACCCAGGCCAUCUUCUCUUUUCUCCUCAAACUCAGGUGCACCUCUGGCCACGGCCACCGACCCCCUCCUGCCCCUGGAGCCGGGACACGUGUCUCCAGAGCUGCCGAGGGACGUCUGCCGAUAGGAGGACGUGUUCAUUAAGGAGGACUUAGAAACACACACUUUCGGGUCCUGUUAAUAUCAGUAAAUUUAAUGAUUUUCUUGAGAUUUUCUUUUAAAAGCUGGCAUUUUAAGAUUUAUCUCUGUAGCUCUUGUUUGUUUAGGAGGGUAAGUAUUAUUCAUCUAUAAAACUCACCCUUUCCUAAAACCAGAUGGGAUUUAAAGCAUCUUACCAAUUUUUAGUUUUUUUACUUUUGAGAGAGAGAGAGAGAAAGCAUGAG